CAGAGCUGAGACAGUCUAAACACAGGCAAGCUAUAGAAGGACCCUAGGGAAGGAUGAGGUGAAGGCUAUUGCCUGGUGUUGGCCAAGAAUGUCAGGUGUUUGGAUUUCUGUCCCUUCCAAAAGGGGAGAUCUCAUUGUUUGGCUAGAGGGCUAGACCAUAACAAAUCAUCCAGCUACUCAAGAGUGAGGGGAAACUGAGUCACCUAUGAUGGCUGUGUCUGGAUGCUGGUAAGGAGUAUGAGGGAAAAUAAAAACUGGGAGAAAACGAUACUCCUGAAUAGCCAAAGACAAUUGCUGCAUCUGGAAAGUACACACAGAUCAUCUUAGAAAACAAGAGAAAAAUCAUAUCAACUGCUGUUUUCAAAUAUUUUUCCCCACCCAGGCCAAUAUUGCAGGCAGGCAAGAGAUGAUCUGCGUUAUAACCAAAAGCAAUUUCAUGUGCUACUCUGGUCUUGUAUCAGGUAAUAAUGCCUUUGUGGUAUAUGCCCAGGAUAUCCCACAUCCACUUUUCAGUCUGCUAGUCAGCUAUCCCAGCAUACUGCACUACCCAAGUCUGUGGGGAAAAGAGAGGAACGUGAAAAGCGGCUGUUAAAGGUGAACUGCAAAGCAAAGCAGUUGGUUUUGACUUUGCUGCUCCCUUAUGAAAUAUAAAGAUUCACUGUU